rnacentral:rRNA from 1 species
GACGAACGCUGGCGGCGUGCUUAACACAUGCAAGUCGAACGGAAAGGCCCCUUUGGGGGUACUCGAGUGGCGAACGGGUGAGUAACACGUGAGUAACCUGCCCUUGACUUCGGGAUAACUUCAGGAAACUGGGGCUAAUACCGGAUAGGAAUCCUUGCUGCAUGGUGGGGGUUGGAAAGCUUCGGCGGUUUUGGAUGGACUCGCGGCUUAUCAGCUUGUUGGUGGGGUAGUGGCUUACCAAGGCUUUGACGGGUAGCCGGCCUGAGAGGGCGACCGGCCACAUUGGGACUGAGAUACGGCCCAGACUCCUACGGGAGGCAGCAGUGGGGAAUAUUGCACAAUGGGCGGAAGCCUGAUGCAGCAACGCCGCGUGCGGGAUGACGGCCUUCGGGUUGUAAACCGCUUUCAGCAGGGGCGAAGCUUGUGGUGACGGUACCUGCAGAAGGAGCACCGGCUAACUAC